UACGUAGGGUGCAAGCGUUAAUCGGAAUUACUGGGCGUAAAGCGUGCGCAGGCGGCUUUGCAAGACAGAUGUGAAAUCCCCGGGCUCAACCUGGGAACUGCAUUUGUGACUGCAAGGCUAGAGUACGGUAGAGGGGGAUGGAAUUCCGCGUGUAGCAGUGAAAUGCGUAGAUAUCAGGAGGAAUACCGAUGGCGAAGGCAGGUCUCUGGGCUGACACUGACGCUCAUGCACGAAAGCGUGGGGAGCAAACAGG
rnacentral:rRNA from 1 species